rnacentral:lncRNA from 1 species
GUUUUUCUCCUACCGCAGCCUACACACCCACUCCACUGGAGCUCUCUUCCCAAAAUCUUAGCAACAUUUCUGGCAAAUCAUAACUCUCUGGUAGGUGGGGGUGUUAGAAUAGCCUCAUUGUCAGGUUUAAAAAUUUACCUCGGAACAUAAACUAACUGAAGUUAAAACCUCACUCUCUCACCUAGUUCAACCUCCUUCCCCAAGAUCAGCUCAGACUCUAAGCGGCCCUGGAAUGCACAGAGGAGCAGCAAGCGGGGCUUGCAGUUUCAUGUUUUCUUUUGCUCUCCUUGCUUGAUUUCCUUUCCCACCACCUCUUCUCCUAUUGACUUCUUCAGGAGAGCAUCUGGAGAAGGAAUGACAGAAGACGGAAAGAAACGCCUUUCCAUUCGGUUGGUGUGGUUCUCCCCUGCUGUGGCAGGUACCUUCUAUCACGGGGCCUCCGCACGCUUCAGAGACGCUCCCACCCCACAUUCUGUUUCAUGCAAGACUAUGUUUUGAACAUGUGACUUUAAACGUUUGCUAUCGUCACCCUCUUGGCUGUGAGCCUGGGAAGCACGGAGAUGGAGCCUCCUGUGGCUGCUGUUUGGGCACAGAGAAUCAGAGAUCCAUGGAACUUCGUACUGAAAAGGGCUUUAAAGCGAAAGGAAAUGAAAAAUGGUCCUAAUGCAGGGAUUGAAAAAAAAAUUACAAAGGAAUAUUUGGAGAAGAGGAAGGCUGCAAGACUGGCCACCACUCUGCUGAACAGGCCCGUGAGGUCCAGGGGGGCAGCCACAAGCCACACGGGGCUACUGAGCACCGGGAUGUGCCUAGUCCAAAGCGCAAUGUGCUGUGAGUGUAAAAUGCAUCCUGGAUUUUGAGGACUGGUAUCAAAACAGUAAAAUAUCAGGGCCAGCCCAGUGGCGGAGUGGUUAAGUUCACGCGCUCUGCUUCGGUGGCCCAGGGUUUCGUGGGUUUGGAUCCUGGGCACAGACAUGGCACCGCUCAUUAGGCCACACUGAGGCAGCAUCUCACAUGCCACAACUAGAAGGACCCACAACUAAAAUAUACAACUAUGUGUGCUGGGGGGAUUUGGGGAGAAAAAAGCAGAAACAACAAAAAGGUUGGCAACAGUUGUUAGCUCAGGUGCCAAUCUUAAAAAUAAAAUAAAAUAAAAUAUCUCUGUAAUGUUCUUUGUAAAGAUUUGUAAUUUGAAAUAGGAAUAUUUUGGAUGUAUCAAAUGAAAAUG